GAUGAACGCUGGCGGCGUGCCUAAUACAUGCAAGUCGAGCGAACAGACGAGGAGCUUGCUCCUCUGACGUUAGCGGCGGACGGGUGAGUAACACGUGGAUAACCUACCUAUAAGACUGGGAUAACUUCGGGAAACCGGAGCUAAUACCGGAUAAUAUAUUGAACCGCAUGGUUCAAUAGUGAAAGACGGUUUUGCUGUACCUUAUAGAUGGAUCCGCGCCGCAUUAGUUAGUUGGUAAGGUAACGGCUUACCAAGGCAACGAUGCGUAGCCGACCUGAGAGGGUGAUCGGCCACACUGGAACUGAGACACGGUCCAGACUCCUACGGGAGGCAGCAGUAGGGAAUCUUCCGCAAUGGGCGAAAGCCUGACGGAGCAACGCCGCGUGAGUGAUGAAGGUCUUCGGAUCGUAAAACUCUGUUAUUAGGGAAGAACAAAUGUGUAAGUAACUAUGCACGUCUUGACGGUACCUAAUCAGAAAGCCACGGCUAACUACGUG
rnacentral:rRNA from 1 species